UAUGUACUUUGUUUCUGCAGGUGUAAAUGGCUAAGUAAUUUCUAACUCUUGAUGCAGGUUCGGUGAAGUGGGGCCCGAUCUCCAAACAGCAAGAGGACGAGGUUGAGUGGGUGAGGGCGCAGCUAUCCGAGGCUGAGCGUGAGUGCGGGAACUUGGUCACGCAGAAGAACUUGUUUGAGUCCGGACUGCUGCAAGGAAGUAAGUACCUGGGUUAUCUUUUUAUUUGUGUGCUGAACCUUUGUGAGUUUGACUAAUAUAAUUGCUUUGUUUGUUUUGGCAGUGGCUGGCAUCAUAAGGGGAAGCACGAAGGUGGCCGUGGACAUUGAUGAGGCCGAGAUGCAGAAGCGGCUGAGGGAGUCGCGGGCCAAGAAAGCUGAAAAGAGUGCCGGAAAACGACCCAGGGAUGAUGAUGAGGGUCGGGUUGCGGAUGUGCUGGGCAAGAGGAAAGCUAUAGAGGAGGCGCACCAGCAUGUGAUGGGCUCGGGGCCGAGACUUCCGCCUUUUGAUCUGCAGGCCCCGCCGAAGCUACCCUUCGGCAUGGAGGAUGUAUUCGCCGAGGGGGUAGAGAAGGUUGACUUCGGCAGGCUUCGGCAGCAGAAGAAGGAGGUCAACCUGGCGAUGCACCGACAGGAGGUGCCCUUGGUGAACGUCUUCUUGGAAGGCGUGAAGAGCGACCCCGAGGCCCUGGCAAAGACUCCAGC
rnacentral:lncRNA from 1 species